rnacentral:lncRNA from 1 species
UGAUGAUUUCAUAGUAUUAUAAUGAUUGUAAUAAAUUUACAUUUGUUAUUAUAUUUUAGUAAUAAAGGGUAAAGAAAAUGAUUAUAUAUCGAACAGCACUAGAUCGGCUAGAUUGGCAGGCGUUGUGGUAACGAUUAUAAUUCAAUGAAAACCAUGCAUGAGCUAUACAUGGAGGGAUUGAGGAGGAACCGCGUCAUUAGUUCAAAGUAGCACAGUUGUAAAGUAAAUUAGAACAUGAAAGUAAAUAACAUCAAAUUGACAAAAAAUAUUAUUUAAAAACAAUUAAAAGAGCUAACCACGUCUUCAUCAAAAUAUUAUAGAUGUUUUCGCAAUACAAUUAAACCAAAGUAUUGGUGGAGAAAUGGAGAUUUUGUGGAGAUUUUAUGGAGUUUAAUGGUGGAGAAAUGGAGAGACAACGUUUAGAUUUAGUCUUUCAAUGCGAUGACAAAGCACCUAAAUUUAGUGCAAUAUAUGUGUAUUUGUAUAGUGACAAUAGUAAAUGAAAAAAACGGAAACUCCGUUAGAAAACAAGUAUACGCAUUUACGGAUUUGCAUCCAGAUAAGAACAAAAGCUUUAUUGUAAACCAUUUUUGAAUGGAGAACAUACCAAAUUUUACUAGUUAUAAUAUACUUCAAAGAAAGAAGAAUAAUAUAGAACCAGAAAGAAAAGAUAAAAUUGGUUGCAAAGCAAAUAAGAUGACUGCAAAAGAGAUAAAAAACGUCUUAAAAAAAGAAUUGAUCAAAAGGAUGGUCGUUCACAGCGUGGUCUUGCAAAGUAGAAGUAGUAGUGUCCCUUGGAGCGUAUUUGACAAGAAACCCUUGGCAGCCAUUGCAACCGAGGUAUUGGCAAGAAGGAGUUGCAGCACUAUGAGAAAACGUGAACGAGUAUCUAACGUACGUAAACUUUAAACUAAGUAAUGUUAAAGCAUAUGUUAAAACAUACUAAAACAGUCUUUAAGUUUUACAGUUUGAUUUUCACUUGAAAAUUACAUUGCGUCAAGCUCUCCUUAAUUUUGAUCUAUAACAUUUUUCUCAAAAAAAUUAUUACAUUAUUUUAAAAAAUCUACACCAGAUUUUAGGCCGGUGUAGCUCGAGUGGAUAAAGCCCGUUCUCCAUUUAGAACUGUUUGCGCUUUGGGGGAACGGAAGAGUUCUUUGAGCAUUCGCAAAAAAGUCUGAUUGGAGAACGGGUUUAAAAAAACUGUUUGCGCAUGCUCAAAGAACUUUUUCCUCUUCUCCAAAGCGCAAAAAGUUCGGAAUGGAGAACAGGCUUAAGGCGUCGAACUUCUGAACAAGAAACUAGAGAUGCGAUUCCUACCAAUGCACAGUGGGAACAUUCCAUUGAAAUAGGUGGCCAAAAAUAUAGUGUAUUUAUGUGGAUAUUAAGCUUUAAAUGAGUAAAAUAGAGACUUAAUAUAAUAUUUUUAAUUUUAAUGUUUAACCAGCUAUUAGGCGCAGCAGGAGGGCAGGAGAAUCCACUUAAGCACUGGGGCACCAGUUGGAUUUUUCAUAUUUAAUACUUUUGGACAUUGUUUAAAUAAUGGAUAAUUUUUCAAGGUACAAAAUGUUCAUACUUAAUUCAACAUAUAUUAAUUUGAAAAAAAAAUUUCGGUGAUUUAUGCCCUGGAUCAAAAAUAACCUGAAAAGUUAGCCCCGCUUCACCCUAAAUAUGAGAGCAAUGAGUCUAAAAACAGAUUUUUGAUGCUAUCUUAUACUAAACUCAUAUUCAUUGACAGAUUUUUGCUUUCAUUUGAUAAUCUUUUAUUUUCUGAAAGUUAUGAUCAUAUAAAGUUUACAAGCCUCUCAUUUUGGGGAUGGUGAAAACUUUAUUAUAGUUACCGUAAUAUUGGGUGGCUUUGGCCCUCGGGAUGACUUUAGCCCAACAGAAAUUUUUAUUUAAAAAUGGUUUAAAAUCGAUACCUCAAGGUACGCCGGUUGCUGUUUAGUAGCAAAUUGUGAAAAAUUUAUUAUUUAUUUAGUUUAAAUUAGUUUACUUAACUCGAGUCUUUGUGAUAUUAUUGUAAAUUGCACUUAAGAAGAAGCACCUAAAAUACGAACUUUUUUAGGUGUGUAAACUUUUACAUCGAUAGCAGUAUCUGUAGAAGGUUUUUUAUCGGAAUAUACACUGAAUUAAUUUUAAACUAUAAGUGUUUGAUUAUAUCUUGUUUUCAAAGCUUAAAAGUUUAUUACUUUUUUGUAAUUGAGGCUAAAAUAAUAUAGGUUGUCUUUGGCCCACUACUUAGGGUGACAUUGGCCCGGGCUAAAGUCACCCCAUGUAUUAGAGUAAACCUUUUUUAGUGAUCAUUUAUAGAUACUAUGGUAGUUAUUAUGUUGGAAUGAAAAAUUUUGUAGUAGUGAUGCAAUAGAGAAUCAGUAUAACAGUUUGUAUUAGUAAAUCAGUAUAAAAAUAUACUAUAAUUUUUUUUUAUUUAUAUAAUUUAAUUAAAAAUUAUAGUAUAAUAAUUAUAGUGAAAUUUGUUUAGUUCUUAGCUUAAAUAUGCCACAAAAUUACAAGCCAAAUUGUGGAAGAAAAAAGUAUGUUACUUAUACUUUAGAACAGUUAGACAAUACAUUAAAAGAAUUAAAGAAUGGUUUAAUUACUAAAAGACAAGCAGCUUUGAAAUACGAUAUACCAAGAUCAACAAUAAAAAUUAAAAUAAAACAGACAUAUCCUAAAAAGUAUGGUGGCCAGAAAAUAUUUACAUCAAAAGAAGAAGAUAUGUUUAAGGAAUAUGCAAUAAAAUCAUCUGAGUUUGGUUUUCCUGUUGAUAAAUAUGAUUUGGAAUGCAUAGUAAAAGGGUAUUUAGAGAAAAAAGGUAUCAUUAUACCUCAGUUCAAAAAUAAUUUUCCAGGUGGCGAUUGGAUUCAAUCUUUUUUUAAAAAAAAUCCAGAACUCACAGUAAGAUUUGCAAGCAACAUAAAGCGAAAGAGAGCAGAAAUAGGAACGACUAUGAUUGAUAACUACUUUAUAAAUCUAUCAAAUGAAAUAAGUAAUAUAUCACCUGAUAAUAUAUGGAACUAUGAUGAAACCAAUCUCAGUGAUGAUCCAGGUAAAAAAAAAAGUUAACAAAGCGUGGAUGUAAGUAUCCUGAAGGCAUCAUUAAUUCUACAAAGACCUCAUCCUCUGUAAUGUUUUGUGGCAAUGCUAAUGGUGAAUUGCUACCACCUUAUGUUGUUUACAAAGCUGAGUCGUUAUGGAAUACAUGGAUGGGACUAGGGCCACCAAAAGCACGUUUUAACAGAUCGAAAAGUGGUUGGUUUGACUCAACAUGUUUUGAGGACUGGUUUUUCUUCUUCCGAGCCUUAAAGAGGCUCAAGGAAGAAGUGCCAUUAUAGGUGAUAACAUAUCUUUACAUUUGAGCAUUGCAGUACUGGAUGCAUGUCAAAGCAAUAACAUAGGAGUUGUAGCAUUACCAGCAAAUUCUACACAUCUCACGCAGCCAUUAUAUGUUGUCUACUUUAGACCUAUAAAGAUUAACUGGCGCAAAAUAUUAUGUGAAUGGAAGGAGAAAGGAAAAGGAAGAAGAGUUGCUUCUCUUCCUAAAGAUGAAUUUCCUAGACUUCUAGACCGUUUAAUUACCAACUUAAGUGAACAUGGGAAUGAUAACCUUAGAGCUGGUUUUUGUAAAACUAGAAUUUUUCCAUUAGACAAGUCUCAAGUGCUUUCACGAAAUCCAUGUUGCAAUGUAGGUUUAGACUUAACUACUGAUUUAGUAAGCUAAUCAUUUUUAGAUCAUUUAUGUAAGUCACUGGAUGAUCCCUCAGAUGGUUCUAAAAACCAAAGCGACGUAAAGUAUGUGCUGUCCCAGGUAAAAGCUUAUGUUAAACAGAUUUGUUAUAAAUGAAAAUAAUAGAUUAAAUUCAAAUAAGGUUGAUACACCUCUCAGUAUUAUAAAUAUAACUGAGACCAACAACAUUGACUUUGCUGGCCCAAGUACAAAUACUGGAACUACUGAGACUUCUAAUCUAAUUUUUGCAGAUAUAAGUUUAGUUGUAGAAAGUCACACAGAAUCUUUAGAUUGUUCAGCAUUAGGCAAAAAGAACUUUCAAAACAUUGAUAAAACAAAAAAUGUUUGUAAAAUGGAGAAACUAUUAAAUCUUGUAGAAAAUUGUUAUGUAAUUGUUAAAUGCAAUGGAGAGUUAAAUCCUGGACAGAUUUGUUUAUUUAUUUUGAGAUAUUU